AAUAUUGCGCAAUGGAGGGAACUCUGACGCAGCGACGCCGCGUGAGCGAUGAAGGUUUUCGGAUCGUAAAGCCCUGUCCUUGGGGAAGAAGGCGGCCAUUUUUUGCCACUUGACGGUACCCAAGGAGGAAGCCCCCGCUAACUACGUGCCAGCCACCGCGGUAAUACGUAGGGGGCAAGCGUUGUCCGGAAUUAUUGGGGGUAAAGGGUGCGUAGGCGGCCUUUUAAGUCUGAUAUGAAAUCAUACCGCUGAACCGUACGCGGUCAUUGGAAACUGGGAGACUUGAGUGCAGAAGAGGAGAGUGGAAUUCCAUGUGUAGCGGUGAAAUGCGUAGAGAUAUGGAGGAACACCAGUGGCGAAGGCGACUCUCUGGUCUGUAACUGACGCUGAGGCGCGAAAGCGUGGGGAUCAAACA
rnacentral:rRNA from 1 species